rnacentral:rRNA from 1 species
UGGGGAAUUUUGCACAAUGGGGGAAACCCUGAUGCAGCGACGCCGCGUGAUUUAGAAGGCCUUCGGGUUGUAAAAAUCUUUUCUAUGGGAAGAAAAUGACAGUACCAUAGGAAUAAGGACCGGCUAAUUACGUGCCAGCAGCCGCGGUAAUACGUAAGGUCCGAGCGUUGUCCGGAAUCAUUGGGCGUAAAGGGUACGUAGGCGGGUAAGCAAGUUAGAAGUGAAAUCCUGUAGCUCAACUACAGUAAGCUUUUAAAACUGCUCAUCUUGAGAUAUGGAAGGGAAAGUGGAAUUCCUAGUGUAGCGGUGAAAUGCGCAGAUAUUAGGAGGAAUACCGGUGGCGAAGGCGACUUUCUGGCCAUAAACUGACGCUGAGGUACGAAAGCGUGGGUAGCAAACAGG